rnacentral:rRNA from 1 species
GACGAACGCUGGCGGCGUGCUUAACACAUGCAAGUCGAACGUGAUUUUUGUGGAAAUUCUUUCGGGAAUGGACAUGAAAUGAAAGUGGCGAACGGGUGAGUAACACGUGAGCAACCUACCUUACACAGGGGGAUAGCCGUUGGAAACGACGAUUAAUACCGCAUGAGACCACAGAAUCGCAUGAUAUAGGGGUCAAAGAUUUAUCGGUGUAAGAAGGGCUCGCGUCUGAUUAGCUAGUUGGAAGGGUAAAGGCCUACCAAGGCGACGAUCAGUAGCCGGUCUGAGAGGAUGAACGGCCACAUUGGAACUGAGACACGGUCCAAACUCCUACGGGAGGCAGCAGUGGGGAAUAUUGCACAAUGGGGGGAACCCUGAUGCAGCGACGCCGCGUGAGCGAAGAAGGUUUUCGAAUCGUAAAGCUCUGUCCUAUGAGAAGAUAAUGACGGUAUCAUAGGAGGAAGCCCCGGCUAAAUACGUG